UCGUAGAUGAACGCUGGCGGCAUGCCUUACACAUGCAAGUCGAACGGCAGCACGGGAGCAAUCCUGGUGGCGAGUGGCGAACGGGUGAGUAAUACAUCGGAACGUGUCCUGUAGUGGGGGAUAGCCCGGCGAAAGCCGGAUUAAUACCGCAUACGCUCUACGGAGGAAAGGGGGGGAUCUUAGGACCUCCCGCUACAGGGGCGGCCGAUGGCAGAUUAGCUAGUUGGUGGGGUAAAGGCCUACCAAGGCGACGAUCUGUAGCUGGUCUGAGAGGACGACCAGCCACACUGGGACUGAGACACGGCCCAGACUCCUACGGGAGGCAGCAGUGGGGAAUUUUGGACAAUGGGGGAAACCCUGAUCCAGCAAUGCCGCGUGUGUGAAGAAGGCCUUCGGGUUGUAAAGCACUUUUGUCCGGAAAGAAAACCUCUGGGUUAAUACCCCGGGGGGAUGACGGUACCGGAAGAAUAAGCACCGGCUAACUACGUGCCAGCAGCCGCGGUAAUACGUAGGGUGCAAGCGUUAAUCGGAAUUACUGGGCGUAAAGCGUGCGCAGGCGGUCCGCUAAGACAGAUGUGAAAUCCCCGGGCUUAACCUGGGAACUGCAUUUGUGACUGGCGGGCUAGAGUAUGGCAGAGGGGGGUAGAAUUCCACGUGUAGCAGUGAAAUGCGUAGAGAUGUGGAGGAAUACCGAUGGCGAAGGCAGCCCCCUGGGCCAAUACUGACGCUCAUGCACGAAAGCGUGGGGAGCAAACAGGAUUAGAUACCCUGGUAGUCCACGCCCUAAACGAUGUCAACUAGUUGUCGGGUCUUCAUUGACUUGGUAACGUAGCUAACGCGUGAAGUGACCGCCUG
rnacentral:rRNA from 1 species